CUUUUAGGAACCCUUAGAGCAUCAGGUCUGCUCAGAUCAUUACUCUAUUCCUGCAGUGACCAUUUAAAAUUAUUACCUGUUUCCUUUUCCCUUUAAACUAGGCUUCCGCUGCCCAGCGUGCUUCUCUCCUCAUCUUGAAAUGGACGCUACGCCACGUGGAUCUGAGAAACAAAUCAUCCGCUCUCUCUGACUCCUGCUCCCAGGGUCCCUCGCUCAAUUGUCUCGCCAGGAGCCUUUUGUGGAAAUCCGAGACAAAAUGUAGAAUAUACGGCUGAUGUCGGUUGUAUAUAAAAGAAAUGUAGGGACCCCUCUUCCCACGAGAAAUGAUUAUAUAAAAAUCCAGGUGUGAAUGAGAACUGUGUCAUCCUUUCAAAAGAAUUAAGAAACCUCAAUUAUAUGGAAGUCAAGGACAAAAAUAAGCAAUAAAUAAAGGCUGCUUCUCUUUGCCUAUUUGAACGAUGUACUCUGUCUUGACUUUUUACCAUUGUGAGAACACCAUCCUGGUCUGGAUAUAGAUGGAAAUAUAUGGCCCCAGCAUAUAGACAAAAGGACAUUGGUUUUGUUUAAUGUUUGAGUUGAAACAAUCACUGGCAUUGUGCCUAAACAACAUACCCAUGAAAACUCUAUACACGCACACAGAACAGAGCUUUAAAUAAAACCCUUUGGUUAGUGUGAAGCAGCAUCAGUGCCCCAACCAAGCCAUCAUGGCGCCCAGCUCAGAGGCCUGAUGUCAGUUUGUAGGACUUCUCAUUUCCUCAUGAUGGCCCUGUAUCCACUUCCCCCCAGGUAAACCCCCUCAGGGCUCACAGCUCCACUAAAGCCUGGCUUUCGUCCACAUUCACUGGAACCCAGGGAGGACUCGGUCCGACCCAGCAACCCUCAGCCCCACAGCUAAUAAAACGACACCCUCUGGCGGAACAGCAAGAACAGACAAGAUCCACAGAGGACUUUGCCAAGUAUUACGAACAGGUUGUGCUAAGGCUACAGUAUUGGCUCCAAGAACCUGAACCACAGGCCUUGUUGCAAUGUGGGAGGAGACCUAAGCAAGGUGGGACUUACAAACACUGUACAUGCAGAGAUGGGCCUGGAAUCAGGUCCAUGACAGUGCCGCUUUCAGAACCAUCAUGGUCCCCCGGGGUGCUGUGACUUACCCUGUUUCAUACCUCCCCACCAGCUUGGUCUCUUUGGCAGCAUAGAGGAUAGAUGAUCUCUGGCUUCAGUCUCCCGGUUCUGCAUGUUUUUCAGUGGUACAGUGCACAUUUUUUUAUUUUCCCAGGCUGUAGAUUCAUGUCUGCCCAUCAGUUUUUGGAGAAAGCUUGUUGUUCUUUGAUGAACGUCGGCAUCAUAAUAUUUACAUGCUAAUGUCAUGGACUAGAUGAGCAUAGGAAAACAAGCCUGUGUUUACCAUAUACAGCAGUUGUGACUGAUUUAAUGUAAUACUAGAGACGUAGGCUCAAUAGUAGGCCAAUGGCACAACGCUAAACUUUAUAAUAAUCCUCCUUGAUCUAUAAAUACAAAUACCAUGGUACGGGCCAGAGUUCUGGACAUUUUUUAUGGUGCCUCUUUAAAGAGCCUCAGUUUCAUUCAAAGUGCAGGACAGAUGUUCCCGAUUACCUCACUGUGUUGUUAAGAGCCCCCCAGAGAAUCUCUGUAAGCAGGGGCUACACGUGGGCUUUGUGUGGUCCCCUAUUUUUUUUUUCCUUUUUCAGAGUCACCUUUUUCCGCAGCCUUUUUAAAAAAAUUGUUUUUACCUUUAAAUCUGAAAGUCCAACGGCUUCACGAUGCAUGUGUUUGAAAGAUGGGAGAUGACAGAGGCUUUGCUGUGUCCGCAACCUGAGCAACAGAUGAGGAAAAAUGGGAGUUUAAGAAGGAUCAUCCAACACUUGCCUCCCCCCGGAGUGUGACAAUUUAUAAAAGUCACUUGAUGAAAGACAUCUCCGCCUUGAUCUGCAUUUUAAAAAAUGUGUAUAUUGUAAGGAAUAUGUGCAUGUGUGCACCAGCUGUUCAUAAAUACCACCUCUCGGCAAGGCCGUUUUAUGGGGAAUCAGAGAUGCGGCUGAAAACAGGUGCUCUGCUUUAUUGCACCUGGAUGCAGCGAUUUGUCCAGGUAACACGAAGACAUGAGAAUCUGCAAAUCCGUGUAAAAGCAAUAAACGAUGCUUCUGCGUGAA